CAGGAAAUAACAUAGAGGUUCCAAACUUUUAAGCCGUGUCGGAUUUACAAAGAUGAAAAGGUUCUGACUAAAACAGAACAGACCUGAAGCUUCAAACUUCCCAUCUCUGAAGAGCCUGCAGCCACUACUUGCCUGUGAUGAGCUGUAGUAGUAUCACUCCAAACUGGUACACAUUUCCUUUCUCUCCAUCUUCGUUACUGCAAUCAGUUCACAAACAAGUUUAUAUUCAACCUUAUGAUGGGUUCUGCUCGUGAAAGGAUUACUGGUGAUUUUCCAAGAGUCACAAACUUGGUACUCAGAUUAUAAGCUUUGAUAUUACGCUUGCACGAAAUGCACUACAGAGGUACGUAUUGAAAACAAAAUGCUUACAAAAAUCUGAUGGUGAACUUAAAGGCUACACUGCACUAAAGAUUUUUGUUCUCAGAAAUAAGUUCAUCUUCAACAAACGGGAUGGUUUUCCGAACAAUUACCCUCAUAGGAGCUCCUGCAAGAAGGACAAAGUUGUGAUGAAGAAACCACUAAAUGAACAAUUACCC
rnacentral:lncRNA from 1 species